GACGAACGCUGGCGGCGUGCUUAACACAUGCAAGUCGAACGGAAAGGCCCUGCUUUUUUGGGGUUCUCGAGUGGCGAACGGGUGAGUAACACGUGAGUAACCUGCCCUAGACUUUGGGAUAACUUCAGGAAACUGGGGCUAAUACCGUAUAGGAGCUCCUGCUGCAUGGUGGGGGUUGGAAAGUUUCGGCGGUCGGGGAUGGACUCGCGGCUGAUCAGCUUGUUGGUGGGGGAGGGGCUUACCAAGGCUUUGACGGGUAGCCGGCCGGAGAGGGUGACCGGCCACAUUGGGACUGCGAUACGGCGCAGUCUCGUACGGGAGACAGCAGUGGGGAAUAUUGUCCAAUGAGCGGAAGCCUGAUGCAGAAGCGCCGCGUGCGUGAUGACGGCCUGUGGGUUGUGAACCGCUUUAGCCUGUGACGAAGCGUGAGUGACGGUAAUGGGUAAAGAAGCACCGGCUAACUACGUG
rnacentral:rRNA from 1 species